rnacentral:rRNA from 1 species
GGCGGACGGGUGAGUAACGCGUAGGAAUCUGCCCCAUAGUGGGGGACAACGUGUGGAAACGCACGCUAAUACCGCAUACGCCCCAAGGGGGAAAGCGGGGGACCUCCGGGCCCCGCGCUAUGGGAUGAGCCUGCGUAGGAUUAGCUAGUUGGCGGGGUAAGGGCCCACCAAGGCGACGAUCCUUAGCUGGUCUGAGAGGACGAUCAGCCACACUGGGACUGAGACACGGCCCAGACUCCUACGGGAGGCAGCAGUGGGAAUAUUGGACAAUGGGCGCAAGCCUGAUCCAGCAAUACCGCGUGUGUGAAGAAGGCCUUAGGGUUGUAAAGCACUUUCAAUGGGGAGGAAAACCUGCCGGCCAAUACCCGGCAGCUUGACAUUACCCAUAGAAGAAGCACCGGCUAACUCCGUGCCAGCAGCCGCGGUAAUACGGAGGGUGCGAGCGUUAAUCGGAAUUACUGGGCGUAAAGCGUGCGUAGGCGGCCCGUUAAGUCAGAUGUGAAAGCCCCGGGCUCAACCUGGGAACGGCAUUUGAAACUGGCGGGCUAGAGUUUGGUAGAGGGGAGUGGAAUUUCAGGUGUAGCGGUGAAAUGCGUAGAUAUCUGAAGGAACACCAGUGGCGAAGGCGACUCCCUGGACCAGAACUGACGCUGAGGUACGAAAGCGUGGGUAGCAAACAGGAUUAGAUACCCUGGUAGUCCACGCCGUAAACGAUGUCGACUAGCCGUUGGCCCUAUAUACAGGGUUAGUGGCGCAGCUAACGCAUUAAGUCGACCGCCUGGGGAGUACGGCCGCAAGGUUAAAACUCAAAUGAAUUGACGGGGGCCCGCACAAGCGGUGGAGCAUGUGGUUUAAUUCGAUGCAACGCGAAGAACCUUACCU